CAAUAGCGUAUAUUAAAGUUGUUGCAGUUAAAAAGCUCGUAGUUGGAUUUCUGGUCGGAAGCUCCUGUCCUCUGAUGAGCGUACAAGUGCGCCCUACCAUCCUUCUGUUAACCUUUAAGGCUUUCGCGGCUUUCUAGGGGCUCAGAUAUUUUACCUUGAGAAAAUUAGAGUGUUUCAGGCAGGCUAGCGCCGGAAUACAUUAGCAUGGAAUAAUGGAAUAGGACUUUUGCCUCUUCUGUUGGUCAUGAGGCUCGAGUAAUGAUUAAUAGGGAUAGUUGGGGGCAUUAGUACUUAACUGUCAGAGGUGAAAUUCUCGGAUUUGUUAAAGACUAACUUAUGCGAAAGCAUUUGCCAAGGAUGUUUNCAUUA
rnacentral:rRNA from 1 species